rnacentral:rRNA from 1 species
ACGGGUGAGUAAUGCCUAGGAAUCUGCCUGGUAGUGGGGGAUAACGCUCGGAAACGGACGCUAAUACCGCAUACGUCCUACGGGAGAAAGCAGGGGACCUUCGGGCCUUGCGCUAUCAGAUGAGCCUAGGUCGGAUUAGCUAGUUGGUGAGGUAAUGGCUCACCAAGGCGACGAUCCGUAACUGGUCUGAGAGGAUGAUCAGUCACACUGGAACUGAGACACGGUCCAGACUCCUACGGGAGGCAGCAGUGGGGAAUAUUGGACAAUGGGCGAAAGCCUGAUCCAGCCAUGCCGCGUGUGUGAAGAAGGUCUUCGGAUUGUAAAGCACUUUAAGUUGGGAGGAAGGGCAUUUACCUAAUACGUAAGUGUUUUGACGUUACCGACAGAAUAAGCACCGGCUAACUCUGUGCCAGCAGCCGCGGUAAUACAGAGGGUGCAAGCGUUAAUCGGAAUUACUGGGCGUAAAGCGCGCGUAGGUGGUUUGUUAAGUUGGAUGUGAAAUCCCCGGGCUCAACCUGGGAACUGCAUUCAAAACUGACAAGCUAGAGUAUGGUAGAGGGUGGUGGAAUUUCCUGUGUAGCGG